AGGAUGAACGCUGGCGGCGUGCUUAACACAUGCAAGUCGAACGAUGAAGGCUGGAGCUUGCUCUGGCUGGAUUAGUGGCGAACGGGUGAGUAACACGUGAGUAACCUGCCCCAGACUCUGGGAUAGGCGCUGGAAACGGCGUCUAAUACCGGAUACGAGCUUCCACCGCAUGGUGAGGAGCUAGGAAAGAAUUUCGGUCUGGGAUGGACUCGCGGCCUAUCAGCUUGUUGGUGAGGUAAUGGCUCACCAAGGCGACGACGGGUAGCCGGCCUGAGGAGGGUGACCGGCCACACGUGGGACUGAGACACGGCCCAGACUCCUACGGGAGCAGCGAGGUGGGAAUAGUGGCACGAAGUGGGCGACGAAGCCUGAUGC
rnacentral:rRNA from 1 species